GGUUUCUGAAACUGCGCACCGUCGCUCGCUUAUCAUCCGCCAUUGAUGCAUCUCCCGGCCUCCAUCCAUCAAUCUGCGGCAAAGCCGCACUCUUUCCGUCGGGCAAGGUACCUGCAUUCACCUCGCACUAGCUCGCUUUCUUCUGUUCCUUCGUCGUCCUCUCCCGGAACAACUCCAGCCAGUGAUUGACGACCCACAGUAUGCUCACAGAAAUGGCAGCUCCGACCACAAGGAUCCAGGAGAGCGAGAUCCACCACGACAUGACGUCCCUGGCCUUGCCGCUUAUGUAAAAUAUGCUCAUCUUGUAGAAGAACAGCGGCCCCAGAAAGCCCCUCGCCACCGUGUAGAGAG
rnacentral:lncRNA from 1 species